AUUUUUAGAAGAAUAUCGCAGCUCUGUAGGUCCAUACAAAGAAAGCGAAUGGUGACCAGAAAUUUGAAGCUCCAAAAAGGACAUAAGGGCAGCAUAAAAGUAAUCCAAACGACUCCAGUGGUUUAAUCAAUGUUUUCAAAAGUAAUAUGAUAAGUGGAGCCUAUCUUAUAGCUUCUGAAGACAUGGAUUUAAACUGGAGCCCAGGGUUGGAUCACGCAUUGAAACCAGGAAGUAAUCGCGUUUCCAUAAUCAGUGACAAGCGCAAUUUGGAGGCUUCACAAUUUGUUUUUGGCACCCCUCCGUGGACAUUACUCCCGGAAAAUGGAGCUCACAUGUGCCCAUUCACCCAACAACACUUACCGCUUUGGCCACUGGGGGCAGUGUUCCACAAUUUGGACUUCCAUCAUAACAGGAACACAACAACUAACAUCUUAGUAAUGGGAACUGAAAACAUGUCUGUUUUCUAUUCUGCAAUUAAUUUUAGCACCAAAGCUGGGGCAUGUGGUUAAAUGGUUGUGUUUAUGAAGUCAAAGUCAAGCAUACAAAAAUGUUUAUCCCUCCCUCUCUCCAUCUCUCCUUCUUUCUCCAUCUCCCUCCCUCCAUUGUCUGGCAGUCUUUUGUCCUAGACAGUUAUAAUACACAGUAGUGGCUCAGAAUCUUUAGGAAAACAACUUUUGGAUAAAAUUAAACUUUUAAUUUUUUUGCAAGAGUCUCUCAACUGUCAUUGCUUGAAAAGCUGUUUUCUAUAGCAUAAUGUAAAUAGAUGUGCAGGAACUCUGAGACAUUGACGACAAAUAUAUUCAUGAGAGCAAUAAUCUCUUAUUCAUCUUAUCAAAGUAACAAUCAAGUUCAGAUGACAAUCAGACAAAAAAACAAUAGAUUUUAAAUAAUGCUUUCAAUUAACAGGUUAAUGUACAGUAGAGUAUCAAUAUACAUUUUUCAAAUGUGGAAUGGAUUUCUUGUUCAUUCAAGAUGUUGUGGCUGGUUGGUACUGUUAGUUUAACUCUGUAGUUUCA